UACGAAGGGGGCUAGCGUUGCUCGGAAUCACUGGGCGUAAAGGGCGCGUAGGCGGCCUGGCAAGUGGAAGGUGAAAUCCCUCGGCUUAACCGAGGAACUGCCUCCCAAACUGCUAGGCUUGAGACCAGGAGAGGUGAGUGGAAUUCCCAGUGUAGCGGUGAAAUGCGUAGAUAUUGGGAGGAACACCAGUGGCGAAGGCGGCUCACUGGACUGGUACUGACGCUGAGGCGCGAAAGCGUGGGGAGCAAACGGG
rnacentral:rRNA from 1 species